GAUUAACGCUGGCGGCGUGCCUAACACAUGCAAGUCGAGCGGCAGCGAGUUUUACACUGAAUUCUGGAAGCUUCUAGUUGAAAGAGAAGAUUUAUUCAAGAAUUUUGUGUAAAAUGUCGGCGAGCGGCGGACGGCUGAGUAACGCGUGGGAACGUACCCCAAAGUGAGGGAUAACGCAUCGAAAGGUGUGCUAAUACCGCAUAUGGUCUUCGGAUUAAAGCCUUCGGGCGCUUUGGGAACGGCCUGCGUAAGAUUAGAUAGUUGGUGGGGUAAUGGCCUACCAAGUCGACGAUCUUUAACUGGUUUGAGAGGAUGAUCAGUCAGACUGGAACUGAGACACGGUCCAGACUCCUACGGGAGGCAGCAGUGAGGAAUCUUACACAAUGGGCGAAAGCCUGAUGGAGCAACGCCGCGUGCAGGAUGAAGGCCUUCGGGUUGUAAACUGCUUUUAUAAGUGAGGAUUAUGACAGUAACUUAUGAAUAAGAAUCGGCUAACUACGUG
rnacentral:rRNA from 1 species